rnacentral:rRNA from 1 species
CGCGUAGGUGGUAGUGUAAGUCUGAGGUGGAAUCCUAUGGCUUAACCAUAGAACUGCCCUGGAUACUGUAUUACUUGAGUCAGUGAGGGGAGGGUAGAAUUCCUGGUGUAGCGGUGAAAUGCGUAGAUAUCAGGAGGAAGGCCUGUGGCGAAGGCGGCCCUCUGGCGCUGGACUGACACUGAGGCGCGAAAGCGUGGGGAGCAAACAGGAUUAGAUACCCUGGUAGUCCACGCCCUAAACGGUGGGCACUAGGUGUAGGGCUCGUAAGGGUUCUGUGCCGAAGGGAAACCAUUAAGUGCCCCGCCUGGGGAGUACGGCCGCAAGGUUGAA